CAGAAACAUAACUACCUCUAUGCUAAGUUGCUUCAGUCAUGUCCAACUCUGUGCGACCCCAUAGAUGGCAGCCCACCAGGCUCCCCUGUCCCUGGGAUUCUCCAGGCAAGAACACUGGAGUGGCUUUCCAUUUCCUUCUCCAAUUAAUGAAAGUGAAAAGUGAAAGUGAAGUCGCUCAGUCGUGCCCGACUCUUAGCGACCCCAUGGACUGCAGCCCACCAGCCUCCUCCAUCCAUGGGAUUUUCCAGAUCAAAGAGAGCCACUGACUCCACACUUAAAUCUUAACUCAAAGCCUUAACAGAUCCUGGAAGCCUAGAUCAAGCCAGUGAUAAUGGACUUUAGAGGAAAGGAAUGCAGACAUGAAAGGUAUUGACGAGAUGGAAUUUACUCAUGACUGAAACAGGUCACCUCCCAAAUGAAACACUUGAACUCAAGACAACUUACAGUCCCAGGCUCUGCCUUUGGGAAGAAUGACCCAAAUUAAGACAGAAGAGGAGUUAAAAUGCUUGCCUUCAGCUUCUCAAGAAAGCAAACUCCAGGAAUUUAGGAACCCACUCUGUGACAGGAUUGAGGAAGGAUUUGUUCCCUAUUUUGGAAUCCUAGGCUUGAAUCUGCAGAGGUUAUUGCUGGUUCAACUUGCAAGUGUACUGAACAGAUACCUGACUUACUCCCAAACAGUUGAUAACAUUCUCUAACAGAGGGAAGUGUACGCUUGAAAGAAUAAGGUCCCUUGGGGACUGCAAGAGCCACAUAGUCUAGGCAAUUUGUUUGCAAGGAACAGAAAGCCUUUCAGGGUGGCUUAAGGAAAGAGUUUUAGUAUGAGAAUACAGGGGACUUCCAACGCACUCAAUUGCAGUAAGUGUGGUCAGACCACACAGUAACUGGAAAUCACUGGACAGCUAUUUGCUGUCUCUGUCUAUCCAGGACAACAUGUUCUCUCAACUCUGCUCUAUGUCCACUUUGGUCUUUGAAGUCUAGCUUCUGGGCAUGGCUCUCAGUUUCUUAGUUUCUACCUUAGAAUUAUAUUUCAUGUGGCUUUGCUUCAAAAAAAAUGCACCAACUGUGGCCCAAACACUAUGUAACCAUAAUUUAGUGCCUACCUCUUCAUCUGGAGUUUAGUGUAUGUGGGGUUUGAGGAGAUGGAAGCCAAACUAGAAAAAGAAGAUGGAUGUGGCAGGAAAAUUGACUUUUUUGGGGGGGAUGGCUGCGAGGGCUUCUCAUUGUGGUGGCUUCUCUUGUGGAGCAUGGGCUCUAGAGUGUGCAGGCCCGUAGAGUAUGCAGGAUCUAGAAUAGUUGUGGCUCACGGGCUUAGUUGCCCUGCAGCACGGGUGAUCUUCUUGGACAAGUGAUCAAACCUGUGUUCCCUGCAUUGGCAGGAUUUUUAACCACUGGACCACCAGGGAUUUCCCAGGGUGGGUAUAUUUUUGAUAUGGAAACUAGGGUAGAGCGACCACAGCAGAAGAGAUCACUUUAGUUAUGACAGGCCAAAGCAAAUUAGAAUGGUAGCUGGAGAAGGUCUAAGAUUAAAGAAUUAAGACUGAAACUGGAUGAUGAAAGGAACAGAGGCAAGUUAUGGCAUAUGUGUUAGAGAGCAAUGGUGCCAUGCUACAACAGGUAUGUAUCUGUGGCUACAAGUAAUAGAAAGACCAAGUCUGGCUUAAACAAUAAGAAUAUCUAAUUAUGUCACCUAAGAAACCUGGAGAUAGGCUAUUCAAGAAUUGGUUAAUAAAAGAGGUCAAAGAUGUCACCUCUCUGGGUUGGCUUCUCUGUCAUUCUCUGGGUAUUACCCUAAGGGUCAGACCAUGACUGCUGUAACAC
ensembl:lncRNA